AUUGAACGCUGGCGGCAUGCUUUACACAUGCAAGUCGAACGGUAACAGGCCGCAAGGUGCUGACGAGUGGCGAACGGGUGAGUAAUGCAUCGGAACGUGCCCAGUCGUGGGGGAUAACGCAGCGAAAGCUGCGCUAAUACCGCAUACGAUCUAUGGAUGAAAGCGGGGGACCGAAAGGCCUCGCGCGAUUGGAGCGGCCGAUGUCAGAUUAGGUAGUUGGUGGGGUAAAGGCUCACCAAGCCAACGAUCUGUAGCUGGUCUGAGAGGACGACCGUGGACACUGGGACUGAGACGCGGCCCAACCUCCUACGGGAGGGAGCAGUGGGGAAUUUUGGACAAUGGGCGCAAGCCUGAUCCAGCAAUGCCGCGUGCAGGAAGAAGGCCUUCGGGUUGUAAACUGCUUUUGUACGGAACGAAAAGGCUCUGGUUAAUACCUGGGGCUCAUGACGGUACCGUAAGAAUAAGCACCGGCUAACUACGUGCCAGCCGCCGCAGUAACAC
rnacentral:rRNA from 1 species